CGGCAGGAGCUGACCACCGUGUACGCCCAGGUGAACCCCUGCCAGAACGUCCCGAACGCGACAAGAGACAACCCGAGGGGGGAGAACUCCACAACCAUCUACGCCACGGUCAAGGCUCCAGCACAGACGGACGACGAGAAGAUGGGCAGCACCGUGCUGGGGGGGCAGGAGGUGGAGGAGAAGAGCAUCUACUCGCUGGUUGUGUGAAUGACCCCCCAUCUACUCACUGGUUGUGUGAAUGACCCCCCAGCUCGGCUCCAGCGCAGCUCCCCGGCC